ACUCCUACGGGAGGCAGCAGUAGGGAAUCUUCCACAAUGGGCGCAAGCCUGAUGGAGCAACACCGCGUGAGUGAAGAAGGGUUUCGGCUCGUAAAGCUCUGUUGUUAAAGAAGAACACGUAUGAGAGUAACUGUUCAUACGUUGACGGUAUUUAACCAGAAAGUCACGGCUAACUACGUGCCAGCAGCCGCGGUAAUACGUAGGUGGCAAGCGUUAUCCAGAUUUAUUGGGCGUAAAGAGAGUGCAGGCGGUUUUCUAAGUCUGAUGUGAAAGCCUUCGGCUUAACCGGAGAAGUGCAUCGGAAACUGGAUAACUUGAGUGCAGAAGAGGGUAGUGGAACUCCAUGUGUAGCGGUGGAAUGCGUAGAUAUAUGGAAGAACACCAGUGGCGAAGGCGGCUACCUGGUCUGCAACUGACGCUGAGACUCGAAAGCAUGGGUAGCGAACAGGAUUAGAUACCCCUGGUAGGAUAGCG
rnacentral:rRNA from 1 species